rnacentral:rRNA from 1 species
AUUGAACGCUGGCGGCAGGCUUAAUACAUGCAAGUCGAACGGUAACAGCAGAAAAGCUUGCUUUUUUGGCUGACGAGUGGCGGACGGGUGAGUAAUACCUAGGAAACUGCCUAAACGAGGGGGAUAACAUUUGGAAACGAGUGCUAAUACCGCAUAAUACUGAGAAGUCAAAGGUUGGUUUACCAAUCGCGUUUAGAUGUGCCUAGGAGGGAUUAGCUAGUUGGUGGGGUAAAGGCCUACCAAGGCGAUGAUCUCUAGCUGGUCUGAGAGGAUGACCAGCCACACUGGAACUGAGACACGGUCCAGACUCCUACGGGAGGCAGCAGUAGGGAAUAUUGCACAAUGGGGGGAACCCUGAUGCAGCCAUGCCGCGUGUGUGAAGAAGGCCUCGG